rfam:Peniophora sp. CONT PENSPscaffold_157_Cont237, whole genome shotgun sequence.
ACACCAGUGGUGAAGUGGUUAUCAUCUUUGCCUUCCAUGAGUUAUCUAGGUCAGCAAAGGGCUCGGGUUCGAAUCCCGGCUGGUGUA